CCUACGGGAGGCAGCAGUGAGGAAUAUUGGUCAAUGGGCGCUAGCCUGAACCAGCCAAGUAGCGUGAAGGAUGACUGCCCUAUGGGUUGUAAACUUCUUUUAUAUGGGAAUAAAGUGCAGUAUGUAUACUGCUUUGCAUGUACCUUAUGAAUAAGGAUCGGCUAACUCCGUGCCAGCAGCCGCGGUAAUACGGAGGAUCCGAGCGUUAUCCGGAUUUAUUGGGUUUAAAGGGUGCGUAGGCGGGCCUUCAGGCCGGCGGUAAAAUUGCGGGGCUCAACCCCGCCGAGCCGUCGGAACCGGGGGCCUUGAGUACCGGAGAAGUACGCGGAAUGCGUGGUGUAGCGGUGAAAUGCAUAGAUAUCACGCAGAACCCCGAUUGCGAAGGCAGCGUACCGGCCGGUCACUGACGCUGAGGCACGAAAGCGCGGGUAUCGAACAGGAUUAGAUACCCUAGUAGUC
rnacentral:rRNA from 1 species